AAAUCAAUCGAUGACGUUGCGAGGAGACAGAGGUCAAACGGGAUCUACUGACAUGACAGGGCGUUGAAGGGAAGGAAAAGUUGAGGGAAACGAGGAAACUAUUUCCAUAGGAGAAUGCUUUUUCACUGAAGUCGAAACUGGCUUGGUACUGACGCCCAGCAGGGGAAACUCCCCGGACACUCACAGACAUUCAUCUGGUUACUUGCAGGAACAUCUGCCUUUCCUGGUGACACCCUCUGCCCUGCAGUCUUCAUUUUCCCUGGAUAGCCCAGCGUCAUUUAAAUACUCAGAAGCCUCUCUGCCUUUCUAUGCUGUUGUCUGCAAAGAGAUGAACGGACCUGUGCAGACGGCUGGCCAGUGACGCCGGGAUCUCUAGGUAACAUGACCCAGUCACGGUGUCACAGACAGGCGGACCAGGAGGAAACCAGAGACACAGAUGGAUUCCAGGGAAAGCCAGCGUUACAGAAUUAAGAAAAGCUGGGGAAGAAAAAGGAAAACGAGAAUUUCCAAAACUGCCGCUUUCCCAGCAGAAGGGAGAUGAAGUUGUCACUUUGGCUGCGAGGGUGCAGAGAUGGAGGAAGGGUUGGGGGUGGGGGUGGUACCGCAAGGGAGAAAAAUAGCUAUAGGCUUCAUCGCAAAGGGGUUCAUGCAGAAUACGCGAGGCCGGCGGCUAACUCUAAGAUUGCUCUCUCGUUAUUCUGUGCCUGGUGCAAAACCCACUACUCAGGGGACAACACAUCCCAGCAUAAAGAAUGAAAUCAUUUCAGCAGCGAGGGCUGGGCCCGCUAGACCGUGAGGCUCCGGCGGCUUCCGCCCGUUGUCUGGUGCACCCCACCUUCAGAAGCACCUGCCCAAGAUGGGAGCGACUGAAGAGAGAGGCCCCAGAGACUCUCCGAGGGGCGGCACCCCCAGAUUCCCGGCCGGCGGACCAAGUUCGCAGCUCUCAAAAGACAUGUCUCACACCAAGGGCCCCGGGCGGGGAGAGGAGAGAAGAGGGGAGGGGAGCAGGGCGCUGCUCCAGGGCACCUGCCUGAGCUCGGGCGCGAUCCCCGGCCACAGGCGCGCGGGGUCACCGCCGGGGGACCGGGACUCAGCCCUCGGAAAGUCCGCGCCAACCCACAGGGCACCCGGGCGCCCGCUCUCCGACUGCUGUCCCGGCUGCCGACUCGUGGCCCACGUCCGCCUCAGUUUC
rnacentral:lncRNA from 1 species